UAGCGUAUAUUAAAGUUGUUGCAGUUAAAAAGCUCGUAGUUGGAUUUCUGGUGGGGCUGUCGGCCUGCUCCGAAGGGGUCGUGGUUAGUACACGCCUGGCCAUCCUCGGGGGAAGCUUUGCUGGCAUUAAGUUGUCGGCGGAGUGACGCUCGUCGUUUACUGUGAACAAAUUAGAGUGUUCAAAGCAGGCUUAGGCCGUUGAAUACAUUAGCAUGGAAUAAUGGGAUAGGACUUUGGUGGUCUAUUUUGUUGGUUUGCACGCCGAAGUAAUGAUUAAUAGGGGCGGUUGGGGGUAUUCGUAUUCAAUUGUCAGGGGUGAAAUUCUUGGAUUUAUGGAAGACGAACUACUGCGAAAGCAUUUACCAAGGAUGUUCUCAUUAAUCAAGAACGAAAGUUAGGGGAUCGAAGAAGAUUAGAUACCUUCGUAGUCUUAACCAUAAACUAUGCCGACUAGGGAUUGGCGGUCGCUUGUUCAGGCUCCGUCAGCACCUUAUGAGAAAUCAAAGUCUUUGGGUUCCGGGGGGAGUAUGGUCGCAAGGCUGAAACUUAA
rnacentral:rRNA from 1 species